rnacentral:rRNA from 1 species
GGGGGGGGGGAGCUGGAUCGAUUUAGCAUGCUAGUUGCACGAGUUCAGACUCGUAGCAGAUAGCUCAGUAACACGUGGCCAAACUACCCUAUGGAUCCGGAUACCCUCGGGAAACUGAGACUAAUCCGGAAUACCACUCGAUGCCUGGAACUGGCUCGAGUGCGAAACGCUCCGGCGCCAUAGGAUGUGGCUGCGGCCGAUUAGGUAGACGGUGGGGUAACGGCCCACCGUGCCGAUAAUCGGUACGGGUUGUGAGAGCAAGAGCCCGGAGACGGUAUCUGAGACAAGAUACCGGGCCCUACGGGGCGCAGCAGGCGCGAAACCUUUACACUGCACGACAGUGCGAUAAGGGGACUCCAAGUGCGAGGGCAUAUAGUCCUCGCUUUUCACGACCGUAAGGUGGUCGUAGAAUAAGUGCUGGGCAAGACCGGUGCCAGCCGCCGCGGUAAUACCGGCAGCACGAGUGAUGACCGCUAUUAUUGGGCCUAAAGCGUCCGUAGCUGGCCUCGCAAGUCCAUCGGGAAAUCUGUCCGCUUAACGGACAGGCGUCCGGUGGAAACUGCGUGGCUUGGGACCGGAAGAUCCAGAGGGUACGUCUGGGGUAGGAGUGAAAUCCCGUAAUCCUGGACGGACCGCCGGUGGCGAAAAGCGCUCUGGAAAGACGGAUCCGACGGUGAGGGACGAAAGCUCGGGUCACGAACCGGAUUAGAUACCCGGGGUAGUCCG